rfam:Schistosoma haematobium scaffold208_19, whole genome shotgun sequence.
AGACUUCUGUAUAGGUGAUAAGAUUUCCUCACACACCAGAUCACAAGGACUGAUGAGACUCCCAAGAUAAGUGACGCG